rnacentral:misc_RNA from 1 species
GUUCGAGCGUCAUUUCAACCAAUCAAGCUUCUGCUUGGUCUUGGGGCCUGCGGUCUCGCAGCCUCUAAACUCAGUGGCGGUGCUAUUGAGCUCUGAGCGUAGUAAUUUUUCUCGCUAUAGGGUCUUCGUAGUUACUUGCCAGUAACCCCCAAUUUUAUCAGGUUGACCUCGGAUCAGGUAGGGAUACCCGCUGAACUUAA